rnacentral:sRNA from 1 species
UUAUAGGGAAUAGAAACUUUAUAUAAUAAAAUAUACCUAUGCUUUUGUUUUUCUGCAUUUUUAAUUUUUAUUAUCAUUAUUUUGUAAUUUUAAAACACAAAAUAAAAACUAAAAAUUAAAUUUGAUAACUUAAAAAGUUUUAAAAUAAUAGUUAUGUAGAAAAACUAAAAACUAAAUAAAUUAUCAUUCAAGAUUUUGCAAAAACAAAAUCUACAUCAAAAAAUCAUAAACUACAAAAAUCAAAAACCAAAAACCAAAAUCCAAAAACCAGAAACUAAAAACCAAUAAUAAACUAGAAAACAUUCAGGGCCUAAACUUUUUACCAUUGUUUAUAUUCAGCCCCGGCUUAGGCAUGUGGUAGGAGUGCCAUAGCACAAGAUCUAUUCAAGUUUUUUUCUCUUUUUUUUUGAACCAAAUAGAGUCCAAAAAAAAAUAUUUUCAAAAAGGUUAGGGAAAAAGGUUAUUUUUUCUUUUAGCUUAGGACUAAAGUUUUGUUGAGUCGGCUCUGUUUAUAUCAGUAGGAAAGCUGGAUCUUCCACAGUUUUAAAAAUUUUAUUUGUUUCUUAUCCUUGUUAAAAAAUGUGGCCUCCCUGGUCGCCUAAGCACUCGGUGGCCGGUAACCGUCAGAAUUUGUCCAAAUCGCUUAAUUCAUCAGAGGAUUUAUUUUUUUUAGUUUAUGGAGUCCAAAUCGCUUAAUUCAUAGAGGAAUUUUUUUUGUAGUUUAUGGAUAAAAUACAUGUUAGAUCUAUCAUAUUUGUGCACAAACAAGACCAAAACGAGUUAAAAAUGAUGUCAAAUGUCUAAAAACCGAGCAGUCGUCAUUAUUAGGGUUACAAAGUCGACAAACUUUGUGAAGAAGAUGAUUAUGUAAUGUCUGUUUUACCCUCCAUUAAAGAGUAAGUUAUAGAAAAAGUUAUAUUACAUUCUAGAGGCUCAAACUCAUUAACAUAAACAAUUAAAGGUUUACAGAAACCACUUCACCAUACUAACUUUAAAUGCUAUGUCACCAAAUAAUAUUUAUAUAUACAUAUAAUUAGAUAAAAACCCUAAAACUUAUCCCGAUUAAUUUCCAUAUAAUUUUUGAUUAACGGAUUAAUCAGUAGACCCGGUUCGAUCCCGACUAACGCCUACCGAUUUUUUGAACAGGGUUCUUUACAUUCAUUUCUGAAAACACAUGGAAGACCUUGUCCACAACUUAACAUU